rnacentral:rRNA from 1 species
CACCGCGGUUAUACGAGGAACCCAAGUUGUUAAUGCACGGCGUAAAGGGUGGUUAAGAUGUACAACAAACUAAAGCCGAACGCUCACAAAGCUGUUAUACGCACCCGAGAGUAAGAAGCCCAUUCACGAAAGUAGCUUUACAUUGUCUGAACCCACGUAAGCUAAGACA